UACAGAGGUCUCAAGCGUUGUUCGGAUUCAUUGGGCGUAAGGGGUGCGUAGGCGGCGCGGUAAGUCGGGUGUGAAAUCUCGGAGCUUAACUCCGAAACUGCAUUCGAUACUGCCGUGCUUGAGGACUGGAGAGGAGACUGGAAUUUACGGUGUAGCGGUGAAAUGCGUAGAUAUCGUAAGGAAGACCAGUGGCGAAGGCGGGUCUCUGGACAGUUCCUGACGCUGAGGCACGAAGGUCAGGGGAGCAAACGGG
rnacentral:rRNA from 1 species